UGCCCAGCAACUCCUAUCCUUACCUCCACGCGGUACCGGCCGGAAACUAUGAGCAACCUUAGGGAAGAUCGGGUAACCAACCCCGGUGGGAACUUUGGUCGUAGGCUGACAGGGAAGG
rfam:Aedes albopictus isolate Foshan contig99685, whole genome shotgun sequence.